GCUGGCAUAGCUCAGCAGGUAGAGCAGCUCACUCGUAAUGAGCAGGUCGGCGGUUCGAAUCCGUCUGCCAGCU
rnacentral:tRNA from 1 species